GACGAACGCUGGCGGCGUGCUUAACACAUGCAAGUCGAACGGAAAGGCCUCUUUCGGGGGGUACUCGAGUGGCGAACGGGUGAGUAACACGUGAGUAACCUGCCCUUGACUUUGGGAUAACUUCAGGAAAGUGGGGCUAAUACCGGAUAGGAGCUCUUGCUGAAUGGUGGGGGUUGGAAAGUUUCGGCGGUUGGGGAUGGACUGGCGGGUUAUCAGCUUGUCGGUGGGGUAGUGGCUUACCAAGGCUUUGACGGGUAGCCGGCCUGUGAGGGUGACCGGCCAUACUGGGACCUAGAGACGGCCCAGACACCGACGGGAGGCAGAUGGGGGGAAGAUUGCACAAGCGGUGCCAGCCUAAUGCAGCAACGCCGUGGACGGUAAGACGGCCUUAGGGUUGAAAACCGCUUUCGCUCGUGACGAAGCUUUUUGUGACGGUAGUGAGUAAAGAAGCACCGGCUAACUACGUG
rnacentral:rRNA from 1 species